AUUGAACGCUGGCGGCAUGCUUUACACAUGCAAGUCGAACGGCAGCGCGGGCUUCGGCCUGGCGGCGAGUGGCGAACGGGUGAGUAAUGCAUCGGAACGUGCCCAGUAGUGGGGGAUAGCCCGGCGAAAGCCGGAUUAAUACCGCCUACGACCUGAGGGUGAAAGAGGGGGGCCGAAAGGACUCGCGCUAUUUGAGCGGCCGAUGUCGGAUUGGAUAGUUGGUGGGGUAAAGGCUUACUAAGGAGACGAUCCGUAGCUGGUCUGAGAGGACGACCAGCCACACUGGGACUGAGACACGGCCCAGACUCCUACGGGAGGCAGCAGUGGGGAAUUUGGGACAAUGGGGGCAAACCUGAUCCAGCCAUGCCGCGUGCGGGAAGAAGGCCUUCGGGUUGUAAACCGCUUUUGUUCGGGAAGAAAUCCUCUGGGCUAAUACCCCGGGGGGAUGACGGUACCGGAAGAAUAAGCACCGGCUAACUACGUG
rnacentral:rRNA from 1 species